rnacentral:rRNA from 1 species
UCCAGCAAUGGACAGCGGCAGACGGGUGAGUAACACGUAGGAAUCUACCUCGAAAUGGGGGAUAGCCAUCCGAAAGGGUGGGUAAUACCGCAUGGUCCCGCAAGGGUAAAGCAGCAAUGCGUUUCGAGAGGAGCCUGCGUCCUAUCAGCUAGUUGGUGGGGUAAUAGCCUACCAAGGCGAUGACGGGUAGCCGAUGUGAGAGCAUGAUCGGCCACAAGGUCACUGAGACACGGGACCUACACCUACGGGUGGCAGCAACUGGGAAUCUUGCGCAAUGGAGGAAACUCUGACGCAGCGACACCGCGUGUGGGAUGAAGCCCUUAGGGGUGUAAACCACUGUGGCGAGGGAUGAAUUUUGAUAGUACCUCGCUAGAAAGCACCUGCUAAUCACGUGCCAGAAGCCUCGGUAAUACGUGAGGUGCGAGCGUUAUCCGGAUUUACUGGGCGUAAAGCGUACCGUCGGCGACUCUUUAAGUCUUUUGUCUAAGCCCAAGGCUCAACUUUGGAUCGGCAGAGGAAACUAAAGAGAUUGAGUAUGUUCGGGGGAUUUGGAAUUCUCGGUGGAGGGGUGAAAUCCGUAGAUAUCGAGAGGAACGCCAAGCGCGAAGGCAGAAUCCUAGGACAUUACUGACGCUCAGGGACGAAAGCUAGGGGAGCAAACGGGAUUAGAGACCCCGGUAGUCCUAGCCGUAAACAUUGGAUGCUAGAUGGGUCACCUUCGGUGAUCUGUCGUAAGCUAACGCGUUAAGCAUCCCGCCUGGGGAGUACGACCGCAAGGUUAAAACUCAAAGGAAUUGACGGGGGAGCGCACAACCGGUGGAGCAUGUUGUUUAAUUCGAUACGAAGCGAAAAACCUUACCCAGAUUUGACAUGUACCUGCACGGUUAUGGAAACAUAGC